GACGAACGCUGGCGGUGUGCUUAACACAUGCAAGUGGAGCGACGAACCAGGGCUUGCCCUGGGGCAGAGCCGCGAACGGGUGAGUAACACGUGGGUAACGUACCCCGAUCACCGGGACAACCCGAGGAAACUCGGGCUAAUACCGGAUGUGUCCGUGAAUCAUGAGGUUCACGUGCAAAGGAAGCUUCGGCCUCCGGAUCGGGAGCGGCCCGCGGCCCAUUAGCCUGUUGGUGGGGUAACGGGCCUACCAAAGCGACGAUGGGUAGCUGGUCUGAGAGGACGAUCAGCCACACUGGGACUGAGACACGGCCCAGACUCCUACGGGAGGCAGCAGUGGGGAAUCUUGCGCAAUGCGCGAAAGCGUGACGCAGCAACACCGCGUGAGGGAAGACGGCCUCGUGUACGUACGU
rnacentral:rRNA from 1 species